UGGGGAAUAUUGGACAAUGGGCGAAAGCCUGAUCCAGCCAUGCCGCGUGAGUGACGAAGGCCUUAGGGUUGUAAAGCUCUUUUGGCGGGGAAGAUAAUGACGGUACCCGCAGAAUAAGCUCCGGCUAACUUCGUGCCAGCAGCCGCGGUAAUACGAAGGGAGCUAGCGUUGUUCGGAAUCACUGGGCGUAAAGCGCACGUAGGCGGAUUGUUUAGUCAGGGGUGAAAUCCCGGAGCUCAACUUCGGAACUGCCUUUGAUACUGGCAAUCUCGAGUCCGAUAGAGGUGGGUGGAAUUCCUAGUGUAGAGGUGAAAUUCGUAGAUAUUAGGAAGAACACCGGUGGCGAAGGCGGCCCACUGGAUCGGUACUGACGCUGAGGUGCGAAAGCGUGGGGAGCAAACAGGAUUAGAUACCCAAGUAGUCCCUGAGCGGGCUGGCAAGGCGCAU
rnacentral:rRNA from 1 species